rnacentral:rRNA from 1 species
CUACGGAGGGUGCAAGCGUUACUCGGAAUCACUGGGCGUAAAGCGCGCGCAGGCGGCUAUUUAAGUUGGAUGUGAAAGCCUACGGCUCAACCGUAGAACUGCAUCCAAAACUAUUUAGCUAGAGUGUGGGAGAGGAAGAUGGAAUUAGUUGUGUAGGGGUAAAAUCCGUAGAGAUAACUAGGAAUACCAAAAGCGAAGGCAAUCUUCUGGAACACUACUGACGCUGAGGCGCGAAAGCGUGGGGAGCAAACGGGAUUAGAUACCACAGUAGUCC